GUCCGGUUUGGCCGUCAUUGUAAAUAAGAAUUUGUUCUUAACUGACUUGCCUAGUUAAACUAAGGUUAAAUAAAUAAAAAAAAGUAUAAAUAUUUUGAAAAUCCUUUUAUUAAGCAAAAUAGACGACACGAUUUUCUUGUAUUUUAUAUUCACGGAUAGCCAGGGGCACAGUUCAACACUCUUGACAUAAUUUACAAAGAAGCAUUUGUGUUUUAGUGAGUCUGCCAGAUCAGAGGCAGUAGGGACGACCAGGGAUGUUCUCUGUUUAGUGAGUCCGCCAGAUCAGAGGCAGUAGGGACGACCAGGGAUGUUCUCUUGAUAAGUGUGUGAAUUAGACAAUUUUCCUGUCCUGCUAAGCAUUUAAAAUGUAAUGAGUACUUUUGGGUGUCAGGGAAAAUGUAAGGAGUAAAAAGUACUUUAUUUUCUUUAGGAAUGUAAGUGAAGUAAAAGUUGUCAAAAAUAUAAAUAUAAACUUAAGUAAAAAUACUUGAAAGUACUAAGUAUACUAAGUAUUUACACCACUGCAGGACAGGAUGUCACUGUACUUAUGGUGUAUGGGGACCUCUACUGGCCAACAUUAUAUGACAGUUUUACUAUUGGUUGUUCCUGGGCUAAAGUCAAACUGCAAUAGGAGAGCAAGUAUGCACAUCUGGUACGUACAGAGAUGGUGCCCUGUCGGUAGAGAGAUGGUGCCCUGUCGGUAGAGAUGGUGCCCUGUCGGUAGAGAGAUGGUGCCCUGUCGGUAGAGAUGGUGCCCUGUUGGUAGAGAUGGUGCCCUGUCGGUACAGAGAUGGUGCCCUGUCGGUAGAGAGAUGGUGCCCUGUCGCUACAGAGAUGGUGCCCUGUCGGUACAGAGAUGGUGCCCUGUCGCUACAGAGAUGGUGCCCUGUCGCUACAGAGAUGGUGCCCUGUCGGUACAGAGAUGGUGCCCUGUCGGUACAUUUAUGCAAAUGUAUUAAAAAUAAAAACCUGAAAUACCUUAUUUACAUAAGUAUUCAGACCCUUUGCCAUGAGGCUCGAAAUUGAGCUCAGGUGCAUCCUGUUUCUAUUGGUCAUCCUUGAGAUGUUUCUACAACUUGAACGGAGUCUGCCUGUGGUAAAUUAAAUUGAUUGGACAGGAUUUGGAAAAGCACACACCUGUCUAUAUAAGGCAAAAACCAAGCAUGAGGUUGAAGGAAUUGUCCGUAGAGCUCAGAGACAGGAUUGUGUCGAGGCACAGAUCUGGGGAAGGGUACAAAAACAUUUCUGCAGCAUUGAAGAUCCCCAAGAACACAGUGGCCUCCAUCAUUUUUAAAUGGAAGAAGUUUGGAACCACCAAGACUCUUCCUAAAGCUGGCCACCCGGUCAAACUGAGCAAUCAGGGGAAAAGGGCCUAGGUCAGUGAGGUAACAAAGAGAUGGAAGAACCUUCCAGAAG
rnacentral:lncRNA from 13 species